GAUGCGGGAGAAGAUGGUACUGGUGCAAAGAAUGAUACAAGGAGCAAUGCCCAAGCAGCUGAAAAAAGCUAGAGACAGAAAUUAUUUGCACAAUACAGAAAUUAUGCUCACUAAGGUUGAGAUGCCACUUCCUGAUAUGAUGUAUCCAAAAUGUUUGCCAAGAAGAAUGCUAUUGGAAAAGAACAGGUGGCAAAAUUAGUGGACGACACAUAUAGAAAAAUGCAGAUAUCUAGUGCCACUGACCUUGCAUCAAAGGGACAGGGAGCCUCAGAUAGCAGUAAUGUGAAAAUUAAAGUGUGACGAUCCACGAUGCCAUGUGUGGCAGCACAUAAAUUGUGUUAUUGUUCCAGAAAAACCUAUGGAAGGUGUCCUGCCAGUACCUGAUAAAUUUUAUUGUGAACUCUGCAGACUCAGCCGUGCAGACCCGUUUUGGGUUUCAAUGGGACACCCCUUGUUUCCUGUGAAGUUGAGCAUAACAAGUCACAACUCGUGUUGGCCAUUGUCUCUGAGGGAAGCAAGUCACACCACACGUUUUUUUUUCAAUGAAAAAGAACUAACACUAGUAAUUUAUUUAUUUUACUUUCUCAUGAUCUAUCAUAUGU